rnacentral:rRNA from 1 species
UCCGUAGGUGAACCUGCGGAAGGAUCAUUACCGAGUGAGGGCCCUCUGGGUCCAACCUCCCACCCGUGUUUAUUUACCUUAUUGCUUCGGCGGGCCCGCCUUCACUGGCCGCCGGGGGGCUCACGCCCCCGGGCCCGCGCCCGCCGAAGACACCCCGAACUCUGUCUGAAGAAUGAAGUCUGAGUGAAAAUAUAAAUUAUUUAAAACUUUCAACAACGGAUCUCUUGGUUCCGGCAUCGAUGAAGAACGCAGCGAAAUGCGAUACGUAAUGUGAAUUGCAAAUUCAGUGAAUCAUCGAGUCUUUGAACGCACAUUGCGCCCCCUGGUAUUCCGGGGGGCAUGCCUGUCCGAGCGUCAUUGCUGCCCUCAAGCCCGGCUUGUGUGUUGGGCCUCGUCCUCCGAUUCCGGGGGACGGGCCCGAAAGGCAGCGGCGGCACCGCGUCCGGUCCUCGAGCGUAUGGGGCUCUGUCACCCGCUCUGUAGGCCCGGCCGGCGCUUGCCGAUCAACCCAAAUUUUUAUCCAGGUUGACCUCGGAUCAGGUAGGGAUACCCGCUGAACUUAAGCAUAUCAAUAAGCGGAGGAA